AGCCUAAACUAGUGGUCACGCUGGCAUGGUGAAAAAGAUCCUUGGAAGAUACUGAACCCUACGUUCAGCGUUCUUCCAAGGACCGUACCUCGAAAGGGGUAUGGAUCCCGUAAGGGAUC
rnacentral:sRNA from 12 species